rnacentral:misc_RNA from 1 species
CAUGCACAAAAGCAUAAACAUAUAUAAACUGAUCAACCAAUAACUUAUAAGAAUCAUAGCAGAAGAAUACUACGAUGGCACAUUAUCUGCCAGAAAAUAAGGAAUUUCCAACUAUUACAUAAGAAAGACGUAUCAAUCGUCUGCAACAUCCUUCGAAAGCCUGCUUUUUGUUGUCGAGAUUGGACCUCGCAACACAACCAACAAAUGCAGAACACAUCACAUCUCCUAACAGGGGUAUAAAGCUGUGUUGAUAAAAUAAAGGCACAUCAGAGGAGCCACGGGGAUACAGCAGACUCCAUCAAAACAAACCAAAAGAAUGAAUCACAAAAGAGGCAGGUGUGAUUGGGACAAGCGUCUCCCACCACGACAAGCACAUCUUCUACAGAAAUAGGUCCUUUGAAGACCAUGCCAAAUAACUCCCCAUUCAUCUCUUUCUCCCACCACGUUCUCUUAGUGAGAGACCAAGUGUUUCUCCAGAUGCAACAUUAUAGUACGCAAGAGACAAGUUGUCCUUGAGAAAACCAGCCUUUCCACUCAGUUUCUGUUUGUUUGCAGGCAGCUGAAUCUCCCCAGAAAUCUUCUCUUUUAGACUGGCAAUGGUUUCGGACAGAGAUUGCACUGUAAUUUCCAGAAUUUGUCCUUUGAGAUUCCCUUCAUCGGUAUUCGGCACAGAUAUAUUGAUCCUUGCAGGUCCCGAGUGCUGAGCCAAAAACUGGUCUUCAGGAAUGAGAAUAGACUCUUCAAGCUUUUGCCUCUUUGGCUCUGGCUCUUCAGGGAGAGGAGGCGCUUCCUCUGGUGGAGGGGGUGGCGGCAUUCCUUGGGGCAUAGGAGGCGGUGGGACCAUAGACAUUCCGGGCUGGGACAUCGGGUGGGGAACAAAGGG